UCACGUUUUUGAAACUUGCCACCGGUGUGUCCGUGUUGCUGUGAUUGUGUGUCCGUUUACGGCGGAUGUAUCUUAGUAAAGUUCCUCUCUGACCCCCCACAACAACCCCAUAUUUAUAGUCAUCAAAAUGGAGGGCGAUGAUAAAUGUGAUCCGGACAGGCCCGCUCAUCCGGGGACUUUCCUAGCCGGCGAGGCCAGGCAGAGUGACAGCCAGCCCGGUGAACGCCGCAUAGACUUCCCGGUGUCUGUGGUUCUUCCUGCCGGCGGCACCGGAGAGCGAACCGGACUCAAGACACCGAAGCAGUUCUGCUCGUUCCUGGGCAGACCGCUCAUCAGCUACACAAUCCAAUCAUUCGAAAGGGUGUCAUGGAUCCAGAGCAUCGUGGUGGUUGUUGCCAAAGAAAACCUGGACCUGAUGACAGACAUCAUGCAGCGCUUCCAGCACAGGAAGGUUCGAGUGGUACCAGGUGGUUCGACUCGACACCGGUCCAUCUACAACGGGGUUCUGGCUCUGGGUGAACAGAAGGAGGAGGAGGAGGGGUCAGUGUCAGUAGACAGGCCGAAGGUGGUCAUCAUCCACGACGCUGUGCGGCCUUUCGUGGAGGAAGACUUUCUCUACAAGAUAGCCAUGGCUGCUAAAGAACAAGGGGCAGCGGGAGCGAUCCGCCCUCUGGUGUCCACAGUAAUAGCCACCACGCCAGAAGGUUACCUGGACCAUUCUCUGGAGCGAACCAAGUACAGAGCCAGCGAGAUGCCUCAGGGAUUCACGUACGAUGUCAUCUCUCAGGCGUACCACAGGUGCACCGAGUCAGAGUUGGAGUUUGGCACCGAGUGUCUUCAUCUGGCUCUGCAGUUCUGUGGCACCAACGCCAAGCUCAUCGAGGGUCCGCCAACACUGUGGAAGGUGACCUACAAACGGGAUCUGGCUGCUGCAGAAUCCAUCGUCAAAGAGACUUUGUCACGGUCGGCCUGUGUUAUCACCGGUGGAUCAUUGUGCGCUGAGACGCUGGCCAAUGCCCUGCAGAAGGCGGCGGGAGCUGUGGACAUGACUCUGGACAUCGUCCCAGAUCUGACAGGAGACAGCGUCACGUAUCUGUUAACGGAAUGCAACUUUAUCCAGGUUUCUGUGAAUCGCUGUUGUCUGACUGAACUGAAGACCUUACUGACGCAUUUGGAGGAAGAGAAUCGAGCUGUUCUUCAGCCACUGGUCGUUAUUUGGGUUCAUCUGAGCAGUUUGGAGGAGGAGCUGUCUGUCAGCGGGACGACGCCAGGACCGGCGGCAAUUAUGGACGUGGCCUCGGCAGCCAAGCUGAGAAACAUUCUGCUCUAUGGCGUCUGGCUCCAUCAGUCAGAGGACAGUGAGCGCUGGCAGAGGUCAGUUCUGAAGGUCGCUGAGAUCACUUCAGCACUGAUCCGCGAGCGGAGCCCCGCCCUGGUGGGACAACUCCUGCAGGCUUGAAGGGAAGCAGCACCAACACAAAAACUCCUCUAAUCAUGACUCAUGAAUACUGCCCACGAUGUGACGCUUACAUUUUCUCUUUUUAUCUAAAAAGUGAAGGGACUUUGAUGAAGAGUUAGAGCAACAAAGACUCACAGACUCGCAUGUUCCUCACUUUUAAGAGCUCCAGAAACCCUGACUCCCCCUAUAUGUAUAUGUAUAUGUAUAUGUAUGUAUUUUCAGGUGUGUUGUUAAAAAGUCGUACUCAGAGUGAAGUGCUCCAAACUUGCUGCGAUUAUGAGCUCAUGCAUCACUGCAGCGCUUAAUGAAGCAGCUCAGAGCGGACGAGGCCCUGGUUUCCUGCAGUGAAGCCACUCUAACACCAGGAUGGAUGGAGGAGAGAAAGUGAAAGGUGGAUUUGUGAGUCAUGCUUUUAAAACAUGAAGCUAUAACAAUCUUCUCUUUCAUAAAACCAACCUUAACCUGCACUACUUAUCUCGUAUGUUUUCUUCUUGUCAAUUUUCUUCUGUUUCCAAUUAGAGUUGCUUGUUUUGUAAAGACGGCAACUCCAUCAUCAACAUCAGCAGAAAAGAAAAGACUAUAUUGCCUUUAUCUUCAAGCAAGAAGACCCGGGUUGAGCCCUGGUUGGAACAAACAUCUUUCUGCAUGGAGGUCACAUGUUCUCCCUCAUGUGCGCAGGUUUUCUCCGGGUUCUCCGGUUUCCUCCCACAGUCCAAAAACAUUAGCUAAACUGGUCACUGACCAUAGGUGUGAAUGUGAGAGUGAAUGGUUGUUGUGCGUGUGCGUGCGGGUCUGCGAUGGACUGGUGAACUGUCCAGGGUGUGACCCCGGCUAUCGCCCCAUGUCAGCUGUGAUUGGCACAAAUGAGUGUACUACAGAUUCCAUGCAAUAAUAAAUAAACAUAAUAUAUAGUACGUAUUCAUUCCUCCCUCAGCUUAUUACAAACAUGUGUUUUCACUCUGAUGUUCUCAUUCCAACAGCUCACUCUCUCACACCAAAGCCCACAGAGAAAAUCAGCGAUUUAAGCUCACAGGGGACUCGAGCUGCUGGUCCACUGCUGCCUCUUGUGGUCACUUUGUGUCACUGCGGGGGCCACAGUGGACUUUGUGAGCACGUGGCUGAAGUUUGGACUUGUGUUUGUGGUGUUGGGGAGGUCAUGUGACAUCAUUCAGAGCUGACGGCUGUAUAACGUGGUCGACUUUGAAAAAGGACCUGCUCCAGAUAUAAAGUUCUAAAGGUAAAUGUAAAAAGGUGAGGAAACGUCUGCCUACACUGCCAAGCAACAGAAUUAUGAUUUAGAGACAAACAAUAAAAAGUGUUGAAAAAAAAUGAUCGGCAGCUGAAAAACAGAACAGUCUUUAUUUUUUCAAACCAAACUCCAUAGAGAAAGUCAGCGAUUUUAACAUCACUGCACACAGUAAGCUACCCUAACCCUAACCCAGUUCAAAUGUGUUCAGUAGUGAUUUCGGCUUUUGUUCUCCUUCAUUUGGUUUAACUCAGUGACACAAAGUGACCACACGAGGCAGCAGUAGACCAGCAGCUCCUGUGUCCCAGUGAGCUUAAAACACUGAUUUUCUCUCUGGGGUUUGGUGUAGGAGGGUGCGGUUUACAAACAGUUUCCUGUUGGAAAAUGGUGGUGAAAUGGUGAAAUGAAGCAGUGAAAAUAUUCUUAACUCUGUCAGGUCUGAUAGUUUUGCCUGACAGAGUCUGUUUUCAGAUGACGGACUCUCACCAAAAACAAUAACAUCAACAAACGUUACAGAGCCAUGUAGGGUCAUGCUCGGUUGGCUCCCUCCCAACAGGAAGUCCCACCUCCUCUUCCUCCUCCUCCUUUUGUUUUAAUGAAGCCCCUGGGAGACUCUGGAAAGCCCUGGAACUGAAUGCGGUCCAUCCCGUCCAAACCGCCGCCUCCUCUUCAGUCCCAGUGAGCUCGGACCAAACCCCUGCUCUUCCCCGUCGCCACGGCAACUGCAAACAGGACGGGACAGGGUCCUGCAGAAGAAGAAGAAGAAAAAAAAAAUGCUUCUAUGAUUUCACCAGAUGUCACGGCAGCAGCAGCACAGACGCUGAGCUCGGGGCACUUUUAUAGCGUGAUCCACACAAAAACACAUUUUAUGCAUUAUCAGACUUCCAGGCUCCACAGUCGCCAUCCCAUCAUUUUUAACAAGGCAAAACACGGGGGAGGCCCCUCAGCUGGCUGUGGGUGUCAAAACAUAAAACUCAGGAAGUGGACACUGCACCAUAUAACACCGUCGUCGCCAUGACAGCACGGGUGUUUCACCCGAUGCCUCCGCAUCCUCCCAUUGUCCUGGCCAUGCGUCACGUCCACACUGCCGCGGCCUCGGCGAGGACGAGGACGAUGAAGACGACGACGGCGACGACGACGUGGGAUUGUUCUGCAUCACAGUCGAGGGAAAUGCUCGUGUGAGAGGAGCAGAAAAAAUAACAAUCAAUAAAAACAGCCGCUGACCCCUGUGACCCCUGUGAGUGCAAACUAUGCAGAGGUCGCCGGGUUUCUAUUGGGCAAGAGCUGGAAUGUGAGUAACUGAUGGUGAGCGUUUGUUUGUUUGUUUGUUUGUUUGUUUGUUUGUAAACGUUGUGUAGGAGGGAGACGAAUUUACCAACUCAGUCAGACGAGAGACAUCAAAUAAAACAAGAUGGCCGCUCUCCAGUCAUGAUGUGUUCUUGUCGUCACAUGUACCAAUGUUGGUGCGUGUGGAUAAACCUGCGCUUCAGGCAUGUUGAAGCUGGACCGUCGCAGAGUGAUGCAAUCACACGGCCAGAGCCACACUGUGUGCCUCACUGGUGGAGCAGGAAGUGCAGCGCGCCGACAGGGUUUGGCUGAGCAGUAGGUGGGCGACACAAAUAAAAGUCACUAAUGGCCUCGUUCACAAAUCCAGGGGAAGUCUGGAGUCGUUCCCGGCGAAACGGGGAUGUGAACGGGAGAAAAUGGAGGAGGGCUCUCACAGAUUUAGUCUGGGAGGAAACGGGCCUUUGGCACCGCGGUCGGCUGGAGCCGUUGCCGCUUUUGGUUUUGGUGGUCGAGCCAGGUCCAGAUCUAAAUGGAGGUUUUAGUGCGGCCGACCCAGGGGCCGUUUGAGGUGUGGUCCGACUCAGUGUAAGGCCCUGCACUUCAUCACGCUGCGUCUGCUGGUGCUGGAGCUGGAGCUGGAGCUGGAGCUGGAGCAUCUCGCCAGGCGUCUCCAACCGCUCCGUUAUAGAUGAUGAGCUCACCUCAGCUGUCCACGGCCAUUACACACAGACAAAAUGGCCACUGCAGAGCAGCAAGUUUGUGUGAAAGGACGAGAGAGGAAGAGCAGACUCAGGUAUCAGCCGAUCACAAAGGUGACGUUCGAGAAAGAAAAACAACAUUUUUUAUUUGGAACUAAUUCAAUGAGCAAAAUAAGACAUUUUUUUUCACAGCGUGCACUUUAAUUUAAAAGCACUAAUAUUCCAAUGUUCAUUAAAAAAGGCACCUCAGUGAAGUAAAUUACAAUUUAAGUCACACUUUAUUAUUAUUAUUAUUAUUAAUGAAAUAAAUGUCUUGUACAAACUGCCAGGGGUGUUCCAACAGCAGGGGCCCAAAUUUGAGAGUGGGCCCCCGUGGACAGCUGAAUAACGACUAAAAUAGAUUUUUACAUUUGCACGUUUACAUGUUCUUAGUUAUUUAGUAAAAAAUAUAAAUAUAUGAAAAGUUUUCUUCACAUACAGAUCAUUUAAUAAUAAAACUAAUAAAACCUGUCCCUUUUUGCUGCUGUAACAAGGGAAUUCCCCUAAUCUAACCUAAUCUCAUCUAAUCUAAUCUUAUCUAUUUAUGACUAUUUUAAACUUUGGGGUAUCAAUAAUCAAAGUUUGGCCGUGCAGGGAGUUUCUGCUCGUCAUGGUGGAAAAAAAUAAAACCCACUAAAAACAUUCAAACUGUCAUUAGACUAGAGCUGCAAGAGCAGAGUGACUUUUUACACGAUGUGAGUCAGAGAACAGGCUGUGGAUCGACAACACAACAACCAAAUGAACACAAAACACAACACAAACACAUCUGUGUCUACGUCAGAUGUCACUGAGGUCAAUCUGAACAAAGCAUUUCAGAAGCCAAAAGUAACUGAAAAUAAGUCCAUUCGAGUUUACUGAUGGAGGCAGCUGCUGUGAUUGUGAUGGAGUUUGGUGCAGGAAGUGAGGGGUUAACAACGUCACAAAAACGUCUGUUUCCAGUUGGAAAACACUGUCUGACUAUAAGAUAUAGAAACAUAAAUGUAUUGUUAAAGGUGACAUCAAUGCUUGUAUCGCACAUAUAUGUUAGUUAUGGAGGUCUACUUACAUAUAUUAACUUGUUUUCAUGGUUAAAAACCUCCCAGUCGCUGCAAACGAGCCGAUCAAAAUAUCUCCUUACUGACACUCUCGUUAGCCGCGCUGUUAUAUAAUAUAUAUAAUAAUCAAAUUUUUGUUGAUGUUCUAAUCUGACUAAUUUAAUUUUACCUAAUCUGAUUAGACCUAAUCUAAUUUGAUCUAAUCUAAUCUAAUUUACUCUCAUUUGACCUGAUCUAAUCUGAUCAGAUUUAAUUCUAAUCAUUUAAAACUUUGGGCUAUCGAAAAUCAAAAUUUUGUUGCAGGGCCCCCUUUCCCUUGGGCCCACAAAAUCCUUUGCAACACCCCUGUAAUCUGCAAAUAAAAAUGUCAAUAUGAAAUAAAAAAAAAUAAGAAACAGUUUUUGAGCUGUGGCUCCCUGACAUCGAGCACUCUGUCCACUCUGCUGUCCACUGUG